rnacentral:misc_RNA from 1 species
CAGAGUUGCAAGACUCCCUAAACCAUUGUGAACCUACCUUCUACCGUUGCUUCGGCGGGCGGGCCCAGCGCCCCCCCGGCCCCCCGCGGGCGCCCGCCGGAGGAUACCCAAGCUCUUGACAUUAGUGGCCUCUCUGAGUAUUCUUUACUGAAUAAGUCA